UGGGGAAUAUUGGACAAUGGGGGCAACCCUGAUCCAGCCAUGCCGCGUGUGUGAAGAAGGCCUUUUGGUUGUAAAGCACUUUAAGCAGUGAAGAAGACUCCAUGGUUAAUACCCAUGGACGAUGACAUUAGCUGCAGAAUAAGCACCGGCUAACUCUGUGCCAGCAGCCGCGGUAAUACAGAGGGUGCAAGCGUUAAUCGGAAUUACUGGGCGUAAAGCGAGCGUAGGUGGUUUGAUAAGUCAGAUGUGAAAGCCCCGGGCUUAACCUGGGAACGGCAUCUGAUACUGUUAGGCUAGAGUAGGUGAGAGGAAGGUAGAAUUCCAGGUGUAGCGGUGAAAUGCGUAGAGAUCUGGAGGAAUACCGAUGGCGAAGGCAGCCUUCUGGCAUCAUACUGACACUGAGGUUCGAAAGCGUGGGUAGCAAACA
rnacentral:rRNA from 1 species